rnacentral:lncRNA from 1 species
CUCACAAUGAGAAAGCUGCAAUUAAAGAAGAGCUAGAAAAAGCGAAACUUUUAUUCCUAUUGCUCUGCACAAUGUUUGCAAAUAGGCCAACAGCACACUGCUUUCUCACAUUACCAAACUCUGCAAGAGCGAAGGAAUACUUCAAGAGGAAUGACUUCUGAGCAGUGCAGUUUUUCACAGAAGCCCCUGGAG